rnacentral:rRNA from 1 species
AACGAACGCUGGCGGCAUGCCUAGCACAUGCAAGUCGAACGAGACCUUCGGGUCUAGUGGCGCACGGGUGCGUAACGCGUGGGAACCUGCCCUUAGGUUCGGAAUAACUCCCCGAAAGGGGUGCUAAUACCGGAUAAUGUCUUCGGACCAAAGAUUUAUCGCCUUUGGAUGGGCCCGCGUUGGAUUAGCUAGUUGGUAGGGUAAAAGCCUACCAAGGCGACGAUCCAUAGCUGGUCUGAGAGGAUGAUCAGCCACACUGGGACUGAGACACGGCCCAGACUCCUACGGGAGGCAGCAGUGGGGAAUAUUGGACAAGGGGCGAAAGCCUGAUCCAGCAAUGCCGCGUGAGUGAUGAAGGCCUUAGGGUUGUAAAGCUCUUUUACCCGGGAUGAUAAUGACAGUACCGGGAGAAUAAGCUCCGGCUAACUCCGUG